UGAACGCUAGCUACAGGCUUAACACAUGCAAGUCGAGGGGCAGCAUGGUCUUAGCUUGCUAAGGCCGAUGGCGACCGGCGCACGGGUGAGUAACGCGUAUCCAACCUGCCUUACACUCUUGGACAGCCUUCUGAAAGGGAGAUUAACACAAGAUGUUAUCAUGAGUAAGCAUUUUCGCAUGAUUAAAGGUUUACCGGUGUAAGAUGGGGAUGCGUUCCAUUAGAUAGUAGGCGGGGUAACGGCCCACCUAGUCUUCGAUGGAUAGGGGUUCUGAGAGGAAGGCCCCCCACAUUGGAACUGAGACACGGUCCAAACUCCUACGGGAGGCAGCAGUGAGGAAUAUUGGUCAAUGGACGAGAGUCUGAACCAGCCAAGUAGCGUGAAGGAUGAAGGCUCUAUGGAUUGUAAACUUCUCUUAUACGGGAAUAAACGAAUCCACGUGUGGAUUUUCGCAUGUACCGUAUGAAUAAGGACCGGCUAACUCCGUGCCAGCAGCCGCGGCAAUACCGAGGGUCCGAGCGUCAUCCCGGAUUUAUUGGGUUUAAAGGGAGCGUAGAUGGGUUGUUAAGUCAGUUGUGAAAGUUUGCGGCUCAACCGUAAAAUUGCAAUUGAUACUGGCAGUCUGNAGUACAGUGAGGGUAGGCGGAAUUCGUGGUGUAGCGGUGAAAUGCUUAGAUAUCACGAAGAACUCCGAUUGCGAAGGCAGCUUACUAACCUGUAACUGACAUUGAUGCUCGAAAGUGUGGGUAUCAAACAGGAUUAGAUACCCUGGUAGUCCACACGGUAAACGAUGAAUACUCGCUGUAGGCGAUAUACAGUCUGCGGCCAAGCGAAAGCAUUAAGUAUUCCACCUGGGGAGUACGCCGGCAACGGUGAAACUCAAAGGAAUUGACGGGGGCCCGCACAAGCGGAGGAACAUGUGGUUUAAUUCGAUGAUACGCGAGGAACCUUACCCGGGCUUAAAUUGCAACCGAAUAUGGCGGAAACGCUAUAGCUAGCAAUAGCGGUUGUGAAGGUGCUGCAUGGUUGUCGUCAGCUCGUGCCGUGAGGUGUCGGCUUAAGUGCCAUAACGAGCGCAACCCUUGCCGAUAGUUACUAACAGGUCAUGCUGAGGACUCUGUCGGGACUGCCAUCGUAAGAUGUGAGGAAGGUGGGGAUGACGUCAAAUCAGCACGGCCCUUACGUCCGGGGCUACACACGUGUUACAAUGGGGGGUACAGAGGGCUGCUACCACGCAAGUGGAUGCCAAUCCCAAAAACCUCUCUCAGUCCGGAUUGAAGUCUGCAACCCGACUUCAUGAAGCUGGAUUCGCUAGUAAUCGCGCAUCAGCCACGGCGCGGUGAAUACGUUCCCGGGCCUUGUACACACCGCCCGUCAAGCCAUGGGAGCCGGGGGUACCUGAAGUGCGUAACCGCAAGGAGCGCCCUAGGGUAAAACUGGUGACUGGGGC
rnacentral:rRNA from 1 species